rnacentral:rRNA from 1 species
GACGAACGCUGGCGGCGUGCUUAACACAUGCAAGUCGAACGAAGUGGCGAACGGGUGAGUAACGCGUAAUCAACCUGCCCUUCCGAGGGGGACAACAGUUGGACACGCCUGCUAAUACCGCAUACUGUAGGAGGGGAUUGCGUCUGAUUAGCUAGUUGGAGGGGUAACGGCCCACCAAGGCGAUGAUCAGUAGCCGGUCCGAGAGGGUGAACGGCCACAUUGGGACGGAGACACGGCCCAGACUCCUACGGGAGGCCGCAGUUGGGAAUCUUCCGAAAUGGACGAAAGUCUGACGGAGCAACGCCGCGUGAGGGAUGACGGCCUUCGGGUUGUAAAGCUCUGUUAGUCGGGACGCGGUACCGGAAUAGAAAGCAACGGCUAACUACGUGCCAGCAGCCGCGGUAAUAC